GGGUGCGACCAUACCAGCACCAGUGCACCAGAUCCCAUCAAAACUCCGCAGUUAAGCGUGCUUGGGCGAGAGUAGUACUAGGAUGGGUGACCUCCUAGGAAGUCCUCGUGUUGUAGAAA